rnacentral:rRNA from 1 species
UACGUAGGGUGCAAGCGUUGUCCGGAAUUAUUGGGCGUAAAGAGCUCGUAGGCGGUUUGUCGCGUCGGCUGUGAAAACCUGGGGCUCAACCCCGGGCCUGCAGCCGAUACGGGCAAGCUAGAAUUCGGUAGGGGAGACUGGAAUUCCUGGGUGUAGCGGUGAAAUGCGCAGAUAUCAGGAGGAACACCGGUGGCGAAGGCGGGUCUCUGGGCCGAUAUUGACGCUGAGGAGCGAAAGCGUGGGGAGCAACAGG